ACACACAAACCUAGUGAGAAUCGUGAAAGGCCUGCUCUCCACCAGUGGCAUCAUGGCCAACAGACACGCGGAGGGGUGGGGAUGCUUCGUUCUGCCUCAGAAACUCCCCCUCUCCAAACUUCUCAGGUAAGUUAAAAAUUGACUGGAAAAUGUAGGUAAAUAGAAAAGUCUUCCUAUACAGCUGAAUUCUCCCCGCCCCUCUGCCUCCUGCAGGUCUUUACCUGUCUUCCCAGGUUCUUUUUCUUCCCUACUGCUAUUAUGGUUGCUCACCACAGCUUCGUUCCAACAACCUUGUAAAAUGGACCCUGUGAUAGGUGAUGUAUGCGUCAACCUGCCAAGUCAGGGAGGGUGACGCUGUUUGAUUAAACAUGAUGCUAAAUGGUUUUGUAAGGAUGUUCUUGGACAAAGUGUUUUCAGGGACAGAGCUGGUAAAGACACUUGCUGUCCAUAAUUGUAGGGGGACGGGAGCUGGCAUCAGUCAGUGGUCAGUCUGAAGAACAGACUCUCUGGGCAUCAGAUUUCUCUGCACGUGGUUGCCUUUAACAUUAGACACUGGCUGUUUCCUGCUCCCAGACACGAAUGGACACAUUUGCUUUGCCAAGAUGCAUGCUUUCAGGUUUCUGGACCCGAAUUUCCCAUCAGCUUUCCUGGUUCACAGAACUUUGGAACUGGGGCUAGUCUUGAUCUUCAAAGCUUCCUGCUUCCUGACUUACCCUGCAGAUCCUGGGACAUGCCACCCUCCCUAACGAAGUGGAACAAUCUCUUUAACCAGUGUCUCUCUUUGUAUAUAUGUUGUUGGUUGUUUUUGUCUGAAGUGUUCUGGUAAUGGAAAUUCAUAUUGUCUUUAAUGCAUUUUCAGUUAAAAUCAGAGAGCAAUUUGACAGUGAUUGCUAGCUGAUACUAUAUGUGAGUUCAGUGCAUAACGUGUUAAAUAAGAAUCUUGAUCUCAUGUUGACAAUGACCUGUGAGUCCCAAGGAAUCUUACUGUAUUGGGCUCUUAGCAGGCAUUUAACAGGUAUGUGCUGGAUGGAUGGACACACAGGUUCUAUCAUUUCUAUUGUGAAGGAAUUUUCACUUCUAUCAGAGCACCAGACCUUUUCCUUCCCUUCGUAUAUGAGAAUAUUAAAUUAUUAGUUGACUGCAAAGAAAGUACUUAGCAUUUUGUUGCUAGGAUACUACUUGGCUCAGCUACAAAGCUGUGCAUCUUAUAAUUUCCUCUGAAAGGACCAUGUGAGCCUAGGAAGCUUUGAGUGGAUGUGUAAAGAGCCAAUGAAGUCCUGCCUGGGUGAAUGUGUUUUGUCUGACAUGGGCUUGGCAAUGACUCAUGAGAAACUGAUAAAGCCUUCCCCCUAAGGGUCAAGCUCAGGAAUGGCAACGCCUUACUCUGCUCUGUGUGCAAGUAUUAGCAAAAUGUGCAGAAACAAGCAACCACAGCUUCCUCCUGGUUGUCUACAGCCUGACACUGCUCAGACAGACACCUCAUACUUAGCCUACUAACUCCGCCCCACUGUGCUGUGUGUAUUAAAGGAGCUGAGGUGCUGCUGGGUUUCUGAAGAGUUGGUGCCACUUCCUGCAAUGUGCACACUCCACUUGACCUCAGAUUUUCUGCAUCCAUAUCUGUCAUUUCCUUCCCAUCUCACCUGUCUUCUUUCCUUCACUCAGCUCCUUAUGAUGUCAAGGCACCAAACCACACAGGAUGUGGAGGGGAACAGCAGAUUCCAAAUGUGUUCAGCCUACUGUGAGGAUUCUUAAUAUACAUCCUAGUUUUUAGUUGCUGUGUUAACUCAUGGUUUGUUUGUUUGUUUGUUUGUUUGUUUGUUUAAUUGACUCUGCUAACAUAUAUAAGUACUUUGAAAACCUAGCUUUCAAUAUGGUGCUACCCAUACAAAGGAAGAAUGGCUUAGUUUCCAAGUUUGUGUGAUGAGCAGAGAGGUAGUAUUUUUUAUUCUUCUAAGGGAAACUGGCUACUGUGGGUAGUCUGCACAGAUUGUUCCUGGACACCAUGAUUAUCUUUGUCAGAACUUUUCAUUGGCCCGACCCCUGCCCACUGCAAUGAGUCUCCUGGGUACCAUGUUCUCCUUUGCUUACUUGGCAUCCACAUCUGGCCUUUCCCUUCCUGUGACAGCUGAAGGACAUAUACUCAUUCGCAAAGGAGAUUUGCUCUUUCACAACACAAUAUUGCUGGCUCAUUUUACUCUUUUGAUUGUCUUUCUUACUCUCUCAAGCAACACACAUACUAGGAGCUAUUUUCUUCAUAAAAUUUUUACAGCAAAACUACAAUUCUCUUUUGAAUUUGCUUGGCUCACUUAUCUGUGUCCCUACCAUAUAACAUCAGGGAAUUUACUAUGGCAAAACCUUGUUGGUAUUGUUGGCUGGUGUAUUUUGUUGCAUGUUCCAUGCUUUAUCCAAAACAAAGUAUCAAUAAAUGCCUUUAGAAAUAAAUUACAAUAAAAAUUAAAAUUAAGAUUAUGAGAAUUAAAGUCAGAUUCGAACCUAAGUCUCUAGUUUAGGUCAAAAUGUUUAAGUAAAACUUUGGAUAUUGGUUUUCUAUUAGAAACACAGAUGUAUAGAAUUUCUAAAUUUUAAUGUGUAUUACAUUGUGAUCAAUUUGAAUAAAAGGGCUUGUAUGUUUUAAGUUAAAAUAAAAAAUUCUGGGAUAUUGUUGGUAUUGCUUAGGAUCAACCAACCAGGAUUCCACAAAACUUCAAAGCCCAAAGCUUAUGCUUGAAUGAGGUUACCAGGAGAUCAAAAGCAGGGCAUGUAUUAUGUGUUCAGAACCUAUAAAUCUUAAUGACAGAGGUCAGGAUGAAAGCAUGAACUGUCUGUCCUGCCUUACUGUAUUUCAUGAGCUUGCUGAUACUUAAGUGGGUUUUUUUUGUUUGUUUGUUUAAAAUAAAAAUGCAAUAUAUAAAACCUAAUGAGGUUUUAAGUCUGUUAAAUAGUCUAAAUUCAUUAUAGAGUUACAUUGAUUUAUAAUUUCUAUAUCUGAGGAAUAAUUACUGCUCUUCUAAAGAAACGGAAUUAUUUAAUGGUAGGAAACAGAGAUUGACAGUUGAAGUCUGCCAAACUCUAAUGAUGAACCUUGGAUCUAAUCUAUGAUGGGUGAUUGAAUAUUUGAAGCAGUUCCCUUUGGUUGAAUACAUAACAAUAAAGACUUGAUGAGAUUGAUUAUGCAGAGACCAGAGCU
ensembl:processed_transcript Gm9989 predicted gene 9989